CAGUUCGGAUCGGAGUCUGCAACCCGACUCCGUGAAGCUGGAUUCGCUAGUAAUCGCGCAUCAGCCAUGGCGCGGUGAAUACGUUCCCGGGCCUUGUACACACCGCCCGUCAAGCCAUGGGAGUCGGUAACACCCGAAGCCUGUAGUCCAACCGCAAGGAGGACGCAGUCGAAGGUGGGAUUGAUGACUGGGGUGAAGUCGUAACAAGGUACC
rnacentral:rRNA from 1 species